rnacentral:misc_RNA from 1 species
ACCGCAGUGUCGGCCGGCA